rnacentral:lncRNA from 1 species
GCUUGGAACGUACAAUUACAUUCAUUUCUAUCUCAAACAUUCAUAUAAUCCUCAAAUAUAACAAAAGAUUUGAGUUCCAGAUAUAUUCAACCCUAAUCGAGCACUAGUGCGCAUACAAUUGCCAAAAAUUUUUUAAAAAAACUAGACUAUACUAGCCUGUACCAGCCUCACGCCCUCACUCGUAACCCCUGUAAGGAAAACAAAUUUAACGGAAUAGAGUGAGCCAAAGAUCAGUGAGGUUCCAAAACUUCAUGUAGACCCAAACAACACGUUGGUCAUUAUGUAAAACUUGAAAUAUCAAAGUAGCGAGUAUAAAAGUUCAUAAAAGAAGACAAUAACAAUUCAAAUUAGCAAAUCAUUAGUUAUCCAACAAAUUCCAGGUAAAGGAUACAGAUGGCUCUCAAGAGCCAAAUUCCCAUUGCAUUAUUUGAUCUGAACCCGUUGACACCCCAUCAAGGUUUGAAGAAGCAAACCAUGACCGUAGAUCUCCACUUUACACAAUUCCGUCCACCAAACAAACCUCUUAUCGGGCCCAAACACCAAACAGAAACAGUGGUAGUAAUACUCGGGUAUACCGAAUCCAGUGAACCUAAUCCAAAAGAUUAUACAAUAAACAAUAAACAGUAGUACUAUGGUUCGCUAGUCUCCUCGACCAAGCCCUUACUAGCACUAGCUCGAUUCAACUAACUAACCAAUAGGGUGUAGAUCUAAGUAGUGAGACGGGAAGAGAGGUACCUCCCACUUGGAUAGAGUGUGGUACAUGCUACCGCUCAGUACUUACAAGUCAAGUACAAGAUCUUAGGUAGUAUUCAAGUUGUACACAUGUAUAUCAAGUCAAUAAUAGCCAGUAAACAGUAAUAAAUCACAUUAGGGCAAAUGCGAUAAAGUACACCCUUGCCCAUUCAAACAAGUCAAGUAUUUCUUUUAAAUAUCAAGAUCAAUCAUGCACUUGGAAGCACUCACCAGUAUGAGCAAGAGAUAUGUCAAAAGUUUCCUUCUGGGUUGUACUCCGGAUCACCAAAGAAACCUAGAUCAGUCAAAAUAAGGUAUUAUAGUUCAACUAAUCAAAAUCUAGAUGAAGCAUAAAAAAUCGAUAAAGUACUAGUGCAAAUAUGACAGUUUUAGAGUGAAUAAUAACAUUUGAACUUUCAAGUUAUGAAAAAUCUUAAGUCAUUUCUCAAAUUCAAACAUAAUCAAAGAAAAUUCCAAAAAUAAGUAGUUGAAAGAAUAACCAAUCCCAAAUUGAAGUGACCAAAUGUAAUUCAAAAUUUUCGAGAUAAAACUAACACUUUUCAUCUUAGUUGAUACCAAAUCUUGGUAAAAAACAAUUCAUAUACUACUAUUGAAGUGCAUUCAAGGAUACAUAUGUAACUUAAGAUCCAACUAACCCAAAAUCAAACCUUAUAUCUCACUAAUAUACAUAAGAGCAAGUAAUAGAAAUUUGGGCAGCAUUUCCCCUAUUUUCUUACUUUUCCCAUCCAACUACAACUUG